UCAGGUAUGUCUUUAUGGCAGUGUGAGAACAGACUAAUACAGAUAUCUGUUCAUAUUUUUGUAGCUCUUUUUCUGUAAAGCUUUCUUCUCUUCAGAACUCUAGCACAAAACUUCCAACCACCUCAGCUUUAUUGAACUCCAGUAUCAAAAACUCAUCAAGACCACUGCAUACUUAUCAUGAUCUCCUUCCCUGUGUUGUAGUCUAGAAUGUUUUUCAAGAAAGACAGGACACUCAUAGGAAUCAUCUUUUUUGUUUCUCUUCUCUCAGGUAUUACAUUUAUGCACUGUCUGCUGCCAAAGAUCUGAAACCAAUGAUCUCAUAUAUAUGGUACAGUUUUCUAGUUAUUUACAGUGGGAGAGUAAAUUAUCCAUGCUCAGAAGUAGUGUGUACUAGUCUCAGUAAGUCAAUGGGUUUCCCUGGAUCCAGGCUUGGAGAAAAUGUUUUCUCUUCUCUAUCUGCAAUUCUCCUGAACCAAUUCUGACGGAUAAUAUGACUGUGUCAACCACAAAAGAGGAAAAGAAUGGGCUUUAAAUCCCGCCUUUACAGCCAUCCAAGGCAGCUCCUUCUUCAAAGGAUGGAACUUUAAGGAUGGAACCAAUUGGCUACAAAUCAUUUUAGCUGAUGCACUGAGACAAUUCUGAAGCAAACUGUCUUAUCCUGGAUUUUGUCAGUAACUGGAGUUGAAGGACUUGAAGAUUCUCAAGGAUUGAUCCAGAAUAUGUUCCAGCAAAAACUACAGCAGAGUAACUUUGACAAGAAAAAUGUUCACUUGCUACCUAAGGAGAGUCUCUGUCUCCUGACCUCUGAAUUUCGAAAUCCUCAGCUCUGGCUGCCACGCAGUGGGAACCGAAUGAGAUGGCUGGGCAGGGUUCUGCAACACAGCAGAAACCCCAGGCUUCCCAAGACCCAGGAUCAGAACUGUAUAAUGUCACUUCUGCCUCACUUUGUUGGACAAAGUAUGUCACAAGAUCAUCUCAGUGGUGGUAAAAUUAUUAUUAUUAUUAUUUUAAGGCAGAGUCUCACUUUGUCACCCAGGCUGGAGUGCAGUGGUGUGAUC
rnacentral:lncRNA from 1 species